rnacentral:rRNA from 1 species
GACGAACGCUGGCGGCGUGCUUAACACAUGCAAGUCGAACGGAAAGGCCCUGCUUUUGUGGGGUGCUCGAGUGGCGAACGGGUGAGUAGCACGUGAGUAACCUGCCCUUGACUUUGGGAUAACUUCAGGAAACUGGGGCUAAUACCGGAUAGGAGCUCCUGCUGCAUGGUGGGGGUUGGAAAGUUUCGGCGGUUGGGGAUGGACUCGCGGCUUAUCAGCUUGUUGGUGGGGUAGUGGCUUACCAAGGCUUUGACGGGUAGCCGGCCUGAGAGGGUGACCGGCCACAUUGGGACUGAGAUACGGCCCAGACUCCUACGGGAGGCAGCAGUGGGGAAUAUUGCACAAUGGGCGGAAGCCUGAUGCAGCAACGCCGCGUGCGGGAUGACGGCCUUCGGGUUGUAAACCGCUUUCGCCUGUGACGAAGCGUGAGUGACGGUAAUGGGUAAAGAAGCACCGGCUAACUACGUGCCAGCAGCCGCGGUGAUACGUAGGGUGCGAGCGUUGUCCGGAUUUAUUGGGCGUAAAGGGCUCGUAGGUGGUUGAUCGCGUCGGAAGUGUAAUCUUGGGGCUUAACCCUGAGCGUGCUUUCGAUACGGGUUGACUUGAGGAAGGUAGGGGAGAAUGGAAUUCCUGGUGGAGCGGUGGAAUGCGCAGAUAUCAGGAGGAACACCAGUGGCGAAGGCGGUUCUCUGGGCCUUUCCUGACGCUGAGGAGCGAAAGCGUGGGGAGCGAACAGGCUUAGAUACCCUGGUAGUCCACGCUGUAAACGGUGGGUACUAGGUGUGGGGUCCAUUCCACGGGUUCCGUGCCGUAGCUAACGCUUUAAGUACCCCGCCUGGGGAGUACGGCCGCAAGGCUAAAACUCAAAGGAAUUGACGGGGCCCCGCACAAGCGGCGGAGCAUGCGGAUUAAUUCGAUGCAACGCGUAGAACCUUACCUGGGUUUGACAUGGAUCGGGAGCGCUCAGAGAUGGGUGUGCCUCUUUUGGGGUCGGUUCACAGGUGGUGCAUGGCUGUCGUCAGCUCGUGUCGUGAGAUGUUGGGUUAAGUCCCGCAACGAGCGCAACCCUUGUUCACUGUUGCCAGCACGUUAUGGUGGGGACUCAGUGGAGACCGCCGGGGUCAACUCGGAGGAAGGUGGGGAUGACGUCAAGUCAUCAUGCCCCUUAUGUCCAGGGCUUCACGCAUGCUACAAUGGCUGGUACAGAGAGUGGCGAGCCUGUGAGGGUGAGCGAAUCCCGGAAAGCCGGUCUCAGUUCGGAUUGGGGUCUGCAACUCGACCUCAUGAAGUCGGAGUCGCUAGUAAUCGCAGAUCAGCAACGCUGCGGUGAAUACGUUCCCGGGGCU